rnacentral:rRNA from 1 species
AUGAACGCUAGCUACAGGCUUAACACAUGCAAGUCGAGGGGCAGCAUUUUAGUUUGCUUGCAAACUAAAGAUGGCGACCGGCGCACGGGUGAGUAACACGUAUCCAACCUGCCGAUAACUCGGGGAUAGCCUUUCGAAAGAAAGAUUAAUAUCCGAUGGUAUAUUAAAACCGCAUGGUUUUACUAUUAAAGAAUUUCGGUUAUCGAUGGGGAUGCGUUCCAUUAGUUUGUUGGCGGGGUAACGGCCCACCAAGACUACGAUGGAUAGGGGUUCUGAGAGGAAGGUCCCCCACAUUGGAACUGAGACACGGUCCAAACUCCUACGGGAGGCAGCAGUGAGGAAUAUUGGUCAAUGGACGAGAGUCUGAACCAGCCAAGUAGCGUGAAGGAUGACUGCCCUAUGGGUUGUAAACUUCUUUUAUAUGGGAAUAAAGUAUUCCACGUGUGGGAUUUUGUAUGUACCAUAUGAAUAAGGAUCGGCUAACUCCGUGCCAGCAGCCGCGGUAAUACGGAGGAUCCGAGCGUUAUCCGGAUUUAUUGGGUUUAAAGGGAGCGUAGGUGGAUUGUUAAGUCAGUUGUGAAAGUUUGCGGCUCAACCGUAAAAUUGCAGUUGAAACUGGCAGUCUUGAGUACAGUAGAGGUGGGCGGAAUUCGUGGUGUAGCGGUGAAAUGCUUAGAUAUCACGAAGAACUCCGAUUGCGAAGGCAGCUCACUAGACUGCAACUGACACUGAUGCUCGAAAGUGUGGGUAUCAAACAGGAUUAGAUACCCUGGUAGUCCACACAGUAAACGAUGAAUACUCGCUGUUUGCGAUAUACAGUAAGCGGCCAAGCGAAAGCAUUAAGUAUUCCACCUGGGGAGUACGCCGGCAACGGUGAAACUCAAAGGAAUUGACGGGGGCCCGCACAAGCGGUGGAGUAUGUGGUUUAAUUCGAAGCAACGCGAAGAACCUUACCAGGGCUUGACAUCCCGAUGACCGGUGUAGAGAUACACUUUUCUCUUCGGAGACAUCGGUGACAGGUGGUGCAUGGUUGUCGUCAGCUCGUGUCGUGAGAUGUUGGGUUAAGUCCCGCAACGAGCGCAACCCUUAAGCUUAGUUGCCAUCAUUAAGUUGGGCACUCUAAGUUGACUGCCGGUGACAAACCGGAGGAAGGUGGGGAUGACGUCAAAUCAGCACGGCCCUUACGUCCGGGGCUACACACGUGUUACAAUGGGGGGUACAGAAGGCAGCUACCUGGUGACAGGAUGCUAAUCCCAAAAACCUCUCUCAGUUCGGAUCGAAGUCUGCAACCCGACUUCGUGAAGCUGGAUUCGCUAGUAAUCGCGCAUCAGCCAUGGCGCGGUGAAUACGUUCCCGGGCCUUGUACACACCGCCCGUCAAGCCAUGAAAGCCGGGGGUACCUGAAGUACGUAACCGCAAGGAGCGUCCUAGGGUAAAACUGGUAAUUGGGGCU